UACGUAGGGGGCAAGCGUUGUCCGGAAUUAUUGGGCGUAAAGAGCGCGUAGGCGGUCCGAUAAGUCGGCUGUGAAAGUCAUGGGCUCAACCCAUGAAAGCCGGCCGAUACUGUCGGACUAGAGUCCGGAAGAGGCGAGUGGAAUUCCCGGUGUAGCGGUGAAAUGCGCAGAUAUCGAGAGGAACACCUGCGGCGAAGGCGGGUUGCUGGGCUGAUACUGACGCUGAGGCGCGAAAGCCAGGGGAGCGAACGGG
rnacentral:rRNA from 1 species